rnacentral:rRNA from 1 species
CUCCUACGGGAGGCAGCAGUGGGGAAUAUUGCACAAUGGGCGCAAGCCUGAUGCAGCCAUGCCGCGUGUAUGAAGAAGGCCUUCGGGUUGUAAAGUACUUUCAGCGGGGAGGAAGGGAGUAAAGUUAAUACCUUUGCUCAUUGACGUUACCCGCA